UUUGACAUGCAAGUGGUAGGAACCGAAAGGCGACGACCUUCGGGAGCUUGCACAGGUGCUGCAUGGCUGUCGUCAGCUCGUGUCGUGAGAUGUUCGGUUAAGUCCGCUAACGAGCGCAACCCUCGCUGUGUGUUACAAGUGUCACACGGUACUGCCGGUCUUAAGCCGGAGGAAGUGGGGAUGACGUCAAGUCAGCAUGGCCUUUAUGUCCAGGGCUACACACGUGCUACAAUGGGCGAGACAGAGCGACGCGAAGCCGCGAGGUGGAGCAAAUCGCAGAAAAUCGCCCUCAGUUCGGAUUGGAGUCUGAAACCCGACUCCAUGAAGGUGGAAUCGCUAGUAAUCGCGCAUCAGCAUGGCGCGGUGAAUACGUUCCCGGGCCUU
rnacentral:rRNA from 1 species